rnacentral:rRNA from 1 species
GACGAACGCUGGCGGCGUGCUUAACACAUGCAAGUCGAACGGAAAGGCCCUGCUUUUGUGGGGUGCUCAAGUGGCGAACGGGUGAGUAACACGUGAGUAACCUGCCCUUGACUUUGGGAUAACUUCAGGAAACUGGGGCUAAUACCGGAUAGGAGCUCCUGCUGCAUGGUGGGGGUUGGAAAGUUUCGGCGGUUGGGGAUGGACUCGCGGCUUAUCAGCUUGUUGGGGGGGUAGUGGCUUACCAAGGCUUUGACGGGUAGCCGGCCUGAGAGGGUGACCGGCCACAUUGGGACUGAGAUACGGCCCAGACUCCUACGGGAGGCAGCAGUGGGGAAUAUUGCACAAUGGGCGGAAGCCUGAUGCAGCAACGCCGCGUGCGGGAUGACGGCCUUCGGGUUGUAAACCGCUUUCGCCUGUGACGAAGCGUGAGUGACGGUAAUGGGUAAAGAAGCACCGGCUAACUACGUG